rnacentral:rRNA from 1 species
UACAGAGGAGGCGAGCGUUGUCCGGAAUCAUUGGGCGUAAAGAGCGCGCAGGCGGCUUGGCAAGUCGGGUGUGAAAUCCCGGGGCUCAACCCCGUGACUGCAUCCGAUACUGUCAGGCUAGAGGUAGGUAGGGGAGAUCGGAAUUCUUGGUGUAGCGGUGAAAUGCGUAGAUAUCAAGAGGAAUACCUGAGGUGAAGACGGGUUGCUAGGCUGACACUGACGCUGAGGCGCGAAAGCCAGGGAGCAAACGGG